rnacentral:sRNA from 1 species
UAUCAUGCUAUUUAUUUUGUUCGAUUUUGAUUCGUUCUUAGAAUCUCUGUCGUUAUGUUUUUUU